rnacentral:rRNA from 1 species
GAUGAACGCUGGCGGCGUGCCUAAUACAUGCAAGUCGAGCGAACAGACGAGGAGCUUGCUCCUCUGACGUUAGCGGCGGACGGGUGAGUAACACGUGGAUAACCUACCUAUAAGACUGGGAUAACUUCGGGAAACCGGAGCUAAUACCGGAUAAUAUAUUGAACCACAUGGUUCAAUAGUGAAAGACGGUUUUGCUGUCACUUAUAGAUGGAUCCGCGCCGCAUUAGCUAGUUGGUAAGGUAACGGCUUACCAAGGCAACGAUGCGUAGCCGACCUGAGAGGGUGAUCGGCCACACUGGAACUGAGACACGGUCCAGACUCCUACGGGAGGCAGCAGUAGGCAAUCUUCCGCAAUGGGCGAAAGCCUGACGGAGCAACGCCGCGUGAGUGAUGAAGGUCUUCGGAUCGUAAAACUCUGUUAUUAGGGAAGAACAAAUGUGUAAGUAACUAUGCACGUCUUGACGGUACCUAAUCAGAAAGCCACGGCUAACUACGUG